rnacentral:rRNA from 1 species
UACGUAGGUGGCAAGCGUUGUCCGGAAUUAUUGGGCGUAAAGCGCGCGCAGGCGGUCCUUUAAGUCUGAUGUGAAAGCCCACGGCUCAACCGUGGAGGGUCAUUGGAAACUGGGGGACUUGAGUGCAGAAGAGGAGAGUGGAAUUCCACGUGUAGCGGUGAAAUGCGUAGGAGAUGUGGAGAACACCAGUGGCGAAGGCGACUCUCUGGUCGUAACUGACGCUGAGGCGCGAAAGCGUGGGGAGCGAACAGG